UACAGAGGUCUCAAGCGUUGUUCGGAAUCACUGGGCGUAAAGCGUGCGUAGGCUGUUUCGUAAGUCGUGUGUGAAAGGCGGGGGCCCAACCCCCGGACUGCUCUGGAAACUAUGUUACUGGAGUGCAGGAGAGGUAAGCGGAAUUCCUAGUGUAGCGGUGAAAUGCGUAGAUAUUAGGAGGAACACCAGUGGCGAAGGCGGCUUACUGGACUGUAACUGACGUUGAGGCUCGAAAGCGUGGGGAGCAAACAGG
rnacentral:rRNA from 1 species